rnacentral:rRNA from 1 species
CCUACGGGGGGCAGCAGUGGGGAAUAUUGCGCAAUGGGCGAAAGCCUGACGCAGCGACGCCGCGUGAGGGAUGAAGGUCUUCGGAUCGCAAACCUCUGUCAGCAGGGAAGAACGGUCACUGUGCUAAUCAGCAGUGAAUUGACGGUACCUGCAAAGGAAGCACCGGCUAACUCCGUGCCAGCAGCUGCGGUAAUACGGAGGGUGCGAGCGUUAAUCGGAAUUACUGGGCGUAAAGCGCUCGUAGGCGGUAUGUCAAGUCAAGGGGGAAAUCCCCGCGCUCAACGUGGGAACUGCCUUUGAAACUGGCAAACUGGAGUGUGUGAGAGGAGAGUGGAAUUCCAGGUGUAGGAGUGAAAUCCGUAGAUAUCUGGAGGAACAUCAGUGGCGAAGGCGACUAUCUGGCACAUAACUGACGCUGAGGAGCGAAAGCGUGGGUAGCAAACAGGAUUAGAUACCCGUGUAGUC